AUUGAACGCUGGCGGCAGGCCUAACACAUGCAAGUCGAGCGAGCGGCGGACGGGUGAGUAAUGUCUGGGAAACUGCCUGAUGGAGGGGGAUAACUACUGGAAACGGUAGCUAAUACCGCAUACCAUCAGAUUUGCCCAGAUGGGAUUAGCUAGUAGGUGGGGUAAAGGCUCACCUAGGCCACGAUCCCUAGCUGGGCUGAUAGGAGGACCAGCACCACUGGAACUGAGACACGGUCCAGCCUCCUCCGGAAGGCAGCAGGGGUGAAUAUUGCACAAUGGGCGCAAGCCUGAUGCAGCCAUGGCGCGUGUGUGAGGAAGGCCUUCGGGUUGUAAAGCACUUUCAGCGGGGAGGCGUUACCCGCAGAAGAAGCACCGGCUAACUCCGUGCCAGCAGCCGCGGUAAUAC
rnacentral:rRNA from 1 species